rnacentral:lncRNA from 1 species
UUGAAAUCGAUGAUCACCCUAUGCAAAUUGAAGAAACACAGUACCCGAAAACCUUCUUCUAUAAAGAAGACCUUCAUCCAGGCAAAACAAUGAAAGUACAAUUCAGCAAGCCUCCCUUUCAACAACCAUGGGGUGUUGGUACAUGGUUAAAGGAAAUUAAAGACACUACUAAAGAAGGAUAUAGUUUUGAAGAGCUAUGCAUCAAGAAAGAAGCCAUUGAGGGAGAAGAGAAGUUUUGUGCAAAAUCCUUGGGAACAGUAAUUGGUUUUGCCAUUUCAAAGCUGGGAAAGAACAUUCAAGUACUUUCAAGUUCCUUUGUCAAUAAGCAAGACCAAUACACUGUGGAAGGAGUGCAGAAUCUUGGAGACAAAGCAGUGAUGUGUCAUAGGCUAAAUUUCAGAACUGCAGUAUUUUACUGCCAUGAAGUCCGUGAAACAACAGCUUUCAUGGUUCCAUUGGUGGCUGGUGAUGGAACCAAAACUCAGGCACUUGCUAUUUGCCACUCAAAUACUUCUGGAAUGAAUCAUCAAAUGCUUCAUCAACUUAUGGGAGUUGAUCCUGGAACUAACCCUGUUUGCCAUUUCCUUGGAAGCAAGGCCAUUUUAUGGGUACCCAAUUUAUCUGUGGACACUGCCUAUCAGACCAACAUUGUUGCUUAAUUAGUCCAUGCAUCUUGAGCACCAUGAGAAUGAGAUUGUGUAUAAAAUAAAUUAUCAUGUGCUGUGUGUUGUGCAAGUACUACCUUCUCUAGCUAGAUUGCUAGAGCUAGAAUUUCAACCUACCUAUGUGUACUGAUAAGAUCUGCUUCCCUACUUAAAGAGAGCAUCAUCCUGUGAUCAGUGUGCUUCGUAUUCUCUCUCUCUAUAUAUAUAUGGUAAAAAGUGGUUAUCUCGUGCCUCGCCUUGAGCUAUCCAUCACUUUUUUUUUUUUAUCUAUCACUUUCUUAUUUUAGAUUGAUUUGUUGAUUUUUUCUUACUUUCUUUAUUCUUUAACUAAAAUAUAUAAAUAUACAUUUAUUUUAUAUAAUUAAAUAAUGACGUGAUUAACUAUUGAAAUAUUUGUUUUAUAACAAAAAGAAUAUAUCUGACUAACCAAUUAUAUAUUGUAAUAACAAAUGACAAGCCUUGAGCUAUUUUAAGUAAGAAUUUUCUAAGGAAAAAUAAAUAAAUAAAAAUACAUUUUUAAGAUAUCUUUUCUUAUUUGAUGAAAUUAUAUAAUAUGGGUGAAAAGCCAACUAUGAUUGACCAAGUGGCGAGGGAUUGGAUUAAAUAUAUAAGGGUUUAUCUUCAUUAUCAUGAUCGUACAUAAAAUAUACAUAUGUUAGCGUGUGUGUAUAUAUAUAUAUAUAUAAAAUUAGGGGGUGGAGGGUCUAUGAUAAAAUUAUAGACUAUAGAUGCAUCUAAUGAUCCAAAAAACUUGAUGAUAAUGGACCGCUUAGUUAAGAGGUCUAUUCUAGAAUUUUUUUUAUGGAUUCAUACAGAUUAAUAAUUUAUAUGAGAUUUUUUUUAAAAAAUAUUAUUUUUUUGUUGAAGACGAAUUGUGGGAAGCAGGAGAAAAAGAAGAACCACAAGAAACAAUUAAGAGCACAAAUGAUGACACAAAGAAGAAGAAAAAGAAGUUCGUAGAAAGAUGAAGAAAAAGAUGAAAGGAUCAACAGUGGCGGUAGGAAUUAUAGGCAUAGGAAGAAGAAGAAUGCGCGUGGUAGCCGACCAUAGGAACAGAACAAUGCGUGUGUAGUGGCUGGCCGGAACAGGAACGAGAGGAAGAAGACCAUAUAAACAAACACUGUAACUUUAUAUUAUAUUAUUAGGGUGAAAAAUAUUUUUGAUAUUUCAGCUUAAGUGUUGGGUGUCCCUGUAAAAAGACUGGGUGUACCAAAUAACUAUCAAGCAUAAUUGAUGGACUUGUAGCCAAAGUGAGUCACCCCAUUAAGGAUAAAACCAGUUUUAGCUAACACAAAUUUACCCAAAUCAUCUCUUAAGCAAACCCAUCAAUCCUGCUUCCAUAAAAAACGAAGCAUCCGUGUCACAUUUUAAAAAAAGCUUCUGGAUGAUGAUGAGAGCCUGCUGUAUCAUUAUUAUUUUUAAAAGAUAAACAGUGGAAUGAUAUUAUUGCAAAGUAAUGAAAAGACACACCAGAACAAAUGAUUUGGAAAGUGCGCCAAAUAUUUGAUUUUUUCCCUAAAGAUAAACAGUGGAAUGUAUUAUUGCAAAGUAAUAAAAAGACACACCAGAACAAAUGAUUUGGAAAGUGGGCGGCCAAAUAUUUGAUUUUUUUUCCCCUAAAGAUAAACAAUGGAAUGUAUUAUUGCAAAGUAAUGAAAAGACACACAGAUUUGGUAAGUGGGCCAAAUAUUUCAAUUUUUCCUAAACAUACAGGUUUUUUUUUUUUUUACUAAAACAUACAACUUCUUUAUUUGUUAUUUGCCAAAAGAAUAUAUUUUUUAUUGUUUACAGGAUAAAUUUAAGUUGGGAAUCUAAAUUUAUAUUUUUUGAAAUUUUCAAACCACCCAAAAAUUCCCUAAGUCAAGCCAUUUCUAAUCACCCGAAAUAAAAUUAAUUGCCACCAAAUGUUUUUGAUGUCAUUUUUUUUUUCUACCAAAAGAAAAGUUAUAUCAUUUUAUUCAUGAUAAAAGAUUCAAUAACAUUAGAAUUAAUUCAAAAAUAUGGUGACUAAGAUAAGAUUAUUUUGACACCCUUAUAAAAACAAACGAUGAUUUGCGUGUAUAUGAAUAAAGCACACAGUAACGUUUUCAAGAUAUAUGAGUUCUUCUCUAUUUUUGUGGACGACAUUUAUAAUAAUAAAAAAAAAGAAUAUCAAUCCUAUCUAAAGCAUGGAAAAAUAAAAACUAUUCACUUAUUUUUAUCUAAUAGUUUAAAAUGUUCAGAUAAUAAUUGGUUCAUGGGAAAAAUCAAACAGUUAACUAAACUAACCGGCUACCAUCCCAUCCAAUUUAACGUGGAUAGAAAAAAUCGAAUAAACUAAAAAUUCAACAAAUAUUAGUUAACAUAUAAAUAAAACCAAAUGAUGAUUAAUGUGUUAAAGUACACUUUAAUCAUUUGUAUAAUACUCAAAUUCGAUCCUUAAUUAAAAUAAUUUUUAUUCAAAUUUUAUUUAUUUUUUAACCAAAUUUUAAAUUAAUCAGGAUUUUUUUCUAACGAGAGGGUAAAAAAAAGUGACACAUAAAUUAAAUAUUUGAUAUUUUAAAUUAUUUUUAUUAUAUAUCUUAUGUUUUAUUUGAUAUUUUCCAUAAAAUUAAAAAUAAGAUUAAAUUAAAUCAAAAACUGAUCCAUUCAAAUCGUUUUAAAUUAAUUCAAAUCUAAUUAAAAAUUUAAACUAGAAUUAUUUGAUAAUAAAUUAAUAAAAUAUUAUUAGAUUAGAUAUUUUUUUCUUUAAAAUUAAUCCAAUUCAAUUAUUGCUUAUGCGGUCCCAAAAAAUUACAACCAUGUACACUCCUAACGAAUCUGUAGGGUAGGAUUCAUUAUGAGGUCAUUCGAUAGUAAUGAUAUAAUACAUAAAAUCCUUUUACAAAAUUAAACUUAAUACUCGUGAUAGAAAUAAAAAAUAAACACUUUUACAAAAUAAGACAAUUGAAUUAUUUUUUUUCUUAAUAUUCUGAUUCAUCGAAAAAAAACCCUAACUAACCUAUGAUCGAAAGAUAAAUAAAAUUUUAUCAAAAAUUAAACUCAAAUAUUCUUAAAUAACUCAAUUAUAUUUAUCAUGGUUGAAUUUAUUCUGUAAAGAACUGAACCUCCUUCGCUGCGGUGUAGGGUAGACUUCUGAUGCCACAACAAUAGGAGCCAUUUUAGAGGACCAGUCUAAACAGUGUGAAAAAGAUAGAAAAAAGUCAAAUCCGUAAAAUUAUAAAAUAUGUAAUCAUGGGGAGCUCGUGGUUCAAGAAAUAUAUAUUUUAGUCAUUACUUUAAUGAGAUAUAGGUAAGAUAAAAUGAGUGCAUUAUUGGUGUAAUCAACUGGAAGUUGAGCCAAGGAGGAACAGAGGAACCGGCGCUGAUAAAUUAUUAUUGGCAAAGUUAAUCUCGGAAGCUGUCCAAAAUAAAGUUCAAUAAAAAAAAUGAUACUUGGCGUUUAAUGUAAGUAAAAAAAAAUUAAUUUCCAACGUUAUAUUCUCUAUAAAAAAGAAUUUAAUUUUUUAAUUAUAUAUAUAUAUAUAUAUAUAUAUAUAUAUAUAUAUAUAUAUAUAUAUAUAUAUAUAUAUAUAUAUAUAUAUAUAUAUAUAUAUAUAUAUAUAUAGGGUCCUUAGAUCCAUAUAUGUGAUUUCACACUUUUAGUGAUUAGUGUUCUGUCAUGUAAAAAAAAUAAAAAUACUUUCAUUCAAUGUGAUAAGAACACCGGUGGCACGUAUGCAAAAAUAUGGAUCUAAGGACCCCAUGGACCACAAAAUUGAUAUGUGGACCACAAAAUUGUUGGGUUUGUGGGGGCGAAUUCUGAAAACCAUGACAUUUAUAUGCAUACACGUACACAAAAUUGCAUGCUAACAGGCAGUCAUUAUUUUUAAUCCACUUGAACAUUAUUAUUUAUAUGCAUUUAUUUCUUUUAUUUUUUUACCUUACCGAUCAUACGUCAAGAAAAAACAAUUAUAUAAUUUUUUAAUUAAUAUAAAAUAUUUUUUUACCCUCUAUUUUUUCAUACACAUACAUAAAGGAAUGCAAGUUUUUGGCAUGCAUUUCUUUUUAUUUUUUUCCAUCAAAUAACACAUCUUUUCAACUUUACUUCUCUUUUAUUUUUAUAGUUUCUAUUUUUGUCAUCUCUAUUCCAUUCCUAACAAAUACCAUAUAAGUCUAAUCUUUUUUAACAGUAUACGAGCCAAACUUCACUAUAUAUAUCUCUGUCCCUGCAAGAGUUUGAGUCACAAAUUUUCCACUCUUCCUCACCGAUUGCUAGAAUGGAAUUUCGAUGCUCAGUCAUCUCUUUUACCAUUCUCUUCUCUGUAAGUGCUUUGGUGCUCAGAAGCCUUUAGAUAUUCUAUUUUUCGUGUCUUUAUGAGCUCUUGCUAACUAGUUUUUCAUAAGUGUUCAGAAACUUAAACAACAAUUAUUAAUAAAUGAUUCUCCAUUUCACAUACUAAAAGCUAUCCAUCCUAUAUAUAAUGAGGCUCUAUUAAUGUUUAAUAUCAAUAAAAAGGAAUUUCAUUAAAAGAGAAAAAAAGAAAUGAACUAUAUAUAGCACAAGAAAUGCCAAGGGUCACCUACAGAUAACAAUCUGGCACACGUAUAUUUAACAUCUGAAAACCAAUAUUUAUGUGGGAUAUACAUUAUUUAUAUAUAUGUUUGUGUGUUUCCCUUUGUCAAUACAUGCAACGAUAUUGUUAAGACAUUAGACUUACAUAUUUGUGAAUAUUUCUAUGUGGCAGCUUGCUCUUGCAGGAGAGAGCCAUGUCCAUGCAUCGCUACCUGAGGAAGAUUAUUGGGAAGCUGUUUGGCCAAACACUCCCAUUCCCACUGCACUGCGAGAGCUUCUAAAGCCUCUCCCUGCAGGUUUAUUAAUUUUAUGAGAAUUAUCAAUUCUAGAUUAUUGAUUCUUGAACAUGGGUUCUUAUCUUCCUAUCAUGCCUUGGCAAGUUAAAACGUUAAUUAGGUUUGGCUGUGUAACAAAGUAGCAAAGACAAAAUUUAAAAGGAAAAUGCUUAAAGUAUUAAAUGUUAGAGUGCAAGACAUGCGAAAAGUCUCCUUACAAAUUCAUUCAUAAGGGUGAUUUACCCAGUUAUAUAAACCCUUAUCAUGUUCAUUAACUACUUGAUGUGGGACUCUUAACACGCCUCCUCGAGUCAGGGCUCACCUCAAAGUGAGGACUGACGGCACUAUCCAUCAAACUACCGGACUCUGAUGCCAUAUUAAAUGUUUGAGUACAACAAAGACAUCCGAAAUAUCCCUUUAAAAAUCGGUUCAUAAGAGAGUGAUCUACCAGCUAUAUAAACACUUAUCAUGUUCAUUAACUAGAUGUAGAACUCUUAACAUAAAGAUACGGUGACCCAAAAAUUAGGAAAGAGCCCCUGAAGGGACAUAAAAAAAGAAAAUGAAAAAAGAACAAAUAGAAGUAAACCAUGUGAUAAGUGACGUGAAUCGAAAAAAAACAAACAAAAUAAGGUGAAAAAAAUGAAAAAGAAAACAAAUACUCUUUAGCGUCCUGUUUAUAAUACCUAUAUUUAAGUGUUGUUUAGUUCUUUUUAUAAAGCUCGUGUUUCUUGCUCUAAUUGUUUAAGACUAAAAUACCCUAAUUACAAGACAAGCUAUAAUGUUAAAUAAUUAGAACAAAGAGAAUGACGUCGAGUAUUAAUAAUAAUAAAAGUUUUGAAGAAAAAAAAAAGACUUAUAAAACAUAAAUUCUGACAGACACUAUAUACAAUGUAGACUAGGGGUACCGUAUACACAUACGUGACAAAAACUCUAAUGAUCAUGAAAUGAAAUAUGAUUAAUAUAAAAUAAAAUAUCUAAAUUCAAUUUACUAAAAGUAAGUUUAAAUUUAUUAUAUAUUUAUUUUUUAAUCAAUCUUCUAUAUUUUUUUAUGAUAUAUAAUUCAUAUUUUAUAUAUUUUAAGCUGACUUUUUCAAAAGUUAAAAAUAAAUAAUUUUUUAAUAAUAUUAAUGCGUGUUUAUUCACAUGAAAAUGUUCUUUUAAGUGUAUGAAUUGUGGUGUCCAAAUCAAUCAAAAAUAAUUUUUUAGUUGGACGCCUAUUUAAUUAGAAGUGUAAAAAAAACAUAAAACACUGACGUUAUAUUAGAAACGUCUGUAGCUGACACUUCAAACAAAAGAGAGAUAUCAGUAAUUCAUAGUUUAAGACAUAUUAUUUUCAACUAAAUUAAUUUCUCUCUUGGACAUGCUAUAAAUAGGAUUAGAAUAAUUAUAUAUUUAUAAUUAUUCAAAGAAAAUUUGAUUUAUUUUCGAUCAUUAAAUGACAGGUGUUGAAAUCGAUGAACUCCCUAAGCAAAUUGAUGAUACACAGUACCCAAAAACAUUCUUCUAUAAAGAAGACCUUCAUCCAGGCAAAACAAUGAAAGUACAAUUCACCAAGCGUCCCUAUGCACAACCUUAUGGUGUAUAUACAUGGUUAACGGAUAUUAAAGACACCUCUAAAGAAGGAUAUAGUUUUGAAGAGAUAUGCAUCAAGAAAGAAGCGUUUGAGGGAGAAGAGAAGUUUUGUGCAAAAUCCUUGGGAACAGUAAUUGGUUUUGCCAUUUCAAAGCUGGGAAAGAACAUUCAAGUACUUUCAAGUUCCUUUGUCAAUAAGCAAGAGCAAUACACUGUGGAAGGAGUGCAGAAUCUUGGAGACAAAGCAGUGAUGUGUCAUGGGCUAAAUUUCAGAACUGCAGUAUUUUACUGCCAUAAAGUCCGUGAAACAACAGCUUUCAUGGUUCCAUUGGUGGCUGGUGAUGGAACCAAAACUCAGGCACUUGCUGUUUGCCACUCAGAUACUUCUGGAAUGAAUCAUCACAUGCUUCAUGAACUCAUGGGAGUUGAUCCUGGAACUAACCCUGUUUGCCAUUUCCUUGGAAGCAAGGCCAUUUUAUGGGUACCCAAUUUAUCUAUGGACACUGCCUAUCAGACUAACGUUGUUGUUUAAUUAGUCCAUGCAUCUGCAUCUUGGGCACCAUAAGAUUGUAUAUAAAAUAAAUUAUGGUGUGUUGUGUAUGUUGUGCAAGACCUGGAACUUCACCUUUCUACGUACGUGUGCUGUUAGGAUGCAGUGUGCUUUGAUGAUGCUUUGAUGAAUAUGCAGUGUG